rnacentral:rRNA from 1 species
GAUGAACGCUGGCGGCGUGCUUAAUACAUGCAAGUCGAGCGAACGGACGCGAAGCUUGCUGCUCUGAUGUUAGCGGCGGACGGGAGUGAAACACGUGGAUCACCUACCUAUAAGACUGGGAAAACUUCGGGAAACCGGCGAUAAUACCAGAUAAUCUUUUGAACCGCAGGGUUCAAAAGAAAAAGACGGUCUUGCUGUCCCUUAUAGAUGGAUCCGCGCUGCAUAAGCUAGUUGGUAGGGUAAACGUUUACCAAGGAGGCGAUGCGUAGCCGACCUGAGAGGGUGAUACGCCACACGAGAACUUAACCACGGUCAAGACUCCUACGAGAGGAACCAGUAGGGAAUCUUCCGCAAUGGUAGAAAGCCUGGCGGAGAGACGCAGAGUGUGAGGAGAAGGUCUUGGGUUCGUAAAGCUGUGUUAUUGGGGAAGAACAGAUGUGUACGGAGCUGUGCACAUCUUGACGGUACCUAAUCAAAAAGCACCGGCUAACUACGUG